UUAAAUUCUAUGGGAUUAUGGUUGGUUAGUGAGGGAAUUGGGAUAGUGUUUUAUUUUAAUUUCAUUUGAAUUUUGUUUUUUUUUCGUUUUCCUCUUUUUCCAAAAUUUCCUUCCAGUUCCACAUUCCUCUUUCAACUCCCAUGUACAUUUAUUUUUCUUGUUAUUUUCUCUUACUUUACUUCUUUUUCCUUUCUUUCUUUUUCAGUUUGGGUUUAUUGACCUUGUGUUCUUUGAACGGAUUUUGGAGGGUGAUUGGUUUGCAGUUGAGGUAAUUCGUAAGUAGCAUUUUUUUAUUUUUGUUGUUCGAACGAAUUUUCUGUUAUGGGAAGUUUGAUUUCAAUUACUCGAAUGUUGGUUUAAUCAUUAGUUUUGAUUGACUGUUUAGGAGAAUCACAGAAAGCGCUAAAUCUUUCGACGAGUUAGGUUUUGGAAAGCGUUGAUUCGUCUUAAG
rnacentral:lncRNA from 1 species